GACGAACGCUGGCGGCGUGCUUAACACAUGCAAGUCGAACGGAAAGGCCCUGCUUGUGUGGGGUGCUCGAGUGGCGAACGGGUGAGUAACACGUGAGUAACCUGCCCUUGACUUUGGGAUAACUUCAGGAAACUGGGGCUAAUACCGGAUAGGAGCUCCUGCUGCAUGGUGGGGGUUGGAAAGUUUCGGCGGUUGGGGAUGGACUCGCGGCUUAUCAGCUUGUUGGUGGGGUAGUGGCUUACCAAGGCUUUGACGGGUAGCCGGCCUGAGAGGGUGACCGGCCACAUUGGGCCUGCGAUACGGCCCAGAGUCCUACGGGAGGCAGCAGUGGGGAAUCUUGCACAAUGGGCGGAAGCCUGAUGCAGCAACGCCGCGUGCGGGAUGACGGCCUUCGGGUUGUAAACCGCUUUCGCCUGUGACGAAGCGUGAGUGACGGUAAUGGGUAAAGAAGCACCGGCUAACUACGUG
rnacentral:rRNA from 1 species